rnacentral:tRNA from 1 species
GCCGUCGUGGUGUAGUGGCCACCCCGCUCGGCGGGUAUUCGAGAGGUCCGUGGUUCGAGUCCUGGCGAGGGCA